rnacentral:misc_RNA from 1 species
AAGUCGUAACAAGGUCUCCGUAGGUGAACCUGCGGAGGGAUCAUCUAUAAAAAAAAUAUGAUGAUGAUGAUGAUGAUGAUGUUUAUUCAUCAUCAUCAUCAUUAUUCAUAUAUUAUCCAUUAUAGGAUGUUUUGGUGUUGUUAUUAUAUAAUAUUCUUAUAAUGUUGCAGGAUGGAAUUGUGUGUAUGUGUAUGUGUAUGUGUGUGUGUGUCGGUGUUUGUGUGUGUGUUGUAUGUGUGUUUGUGUUUUAAGGAGUAUUGUUACUCUUUUUAACCUUCCCCACAUACACUCUACUCUUAUUACUACCCAUCACUACACCAAUAAAAAACCAACCAGGAUCAUAAAUUCCAAACAAAGUUUAUAACUUUUGGCAACGGAUCUCUUGGUUCUC